AUUUAGUAGUAGGCCUAUAUGUUUGUUAGUAGUCUAUAUUGUAGUCCAGGAGCUGUAUGUGUAAAUGUGUAACUUCUUAUCUGAUAUAUGCAUGUAUGAAAAAUCAAUAAAACCUGAUGUACCCAGUCAAGGAAUUGGUAUGAGUUGUUCUGGACCUGCAGAGGCAUAUUCUCUGAUCACUUCUGUACCAGCCACAUCUCAGCCCAUAUAUGAAGAUGUUUUGGUCAGUAAACAACAGAAACAGGGAAAUCCGGAGGAAAAUGAGAAUGUUUAUCACAUGUACUCCACGAUCCCUGACAAACCAGUUCACUCAAACGCAGAAGAUCACAUGUAUAGUUUGGUGAACAUGUACUGAUGAAUCUCAUGUCUGUUUAUUAUGUACAGCCCCUAUACU
rnacentral:lncRNA from 1 species